UAUGGGGACAGAUGAGACACACGUGUGUUUAUCUGCUGCAGAGAGACUGAUGAAGCAAUGCUGCCGUCACAGGCUUUGAAUCUUUUAUGGUGGAGCAGGACCUGCAAGGAAAGGUGACGUUUGUGGAAAAAAGGGAAAACCUGAAACAAAAGGAUAUAAAGAUCUGAAAUGUCUGGAGACUGGUGUGUGUGCAGUGAGGAUGGAGAAGUUCACAGCAGCAUCCUGGAAAUGGUCCCAGCGACCAGAUGAGACG